rnacentral:rRNA from 1 species
AUUGAACGCUGGCGGCAUGCCUUACACAUGCAAGUCGAACGGCAGCGCGGACUUCGGUCUGGCGGCGAGUGGCGAACGGGUGAGUAAUGUAUCGGAACGUACCAUUCAGUGGGGGAUAACGCAGCGAAAGUUGCGCUAAUACCGCAUAUUCUGUGCGCAGGAAAGCAGGGGAUCGCAAGACCUUGCGCUGAUUGAGCGGCCGAUAUCAGAUUAGCUAGUUGGUGAGGUAAAGGCUCACCAAGGCGACGAGCUGUAGCGGGUCUGAGAGGAUGAUCCGCCACACUGGAACUGAGACACGGUCCAGACUCCUACGGGAGGCAGCAGUGGGGAAUUGUGGACAAUGGGCGCAAGCCUGAUCCAGCCAUGCCGCGUGAGUGAAGAAGGCCUUCGGGUUGUAAAGCUCUUUCGGCCGGGAAGAAAUCGUAUGGGUUAAUACCCUGUGCGGAUGACGGUACCGGCAUAAGAAGCACCGGCUAACUACGUGCCAGCCGCCGCAGUAAGAC